rfam:Metschnikowia bicuspidata var. bicuspidata NRRL YB-4993 METBIscaffold_5, whole genome shotgun sequence.
GGGCGUGUGGUCUAGUGGUAUGAUUCUCGCUUUGGGUUGAGUUCGCAGAUACCUGAGAGCUUUGCAAAUAUGCGAGAGGCCCUGGGUUCAAUUCCCAGUAUGCCCC